GAUGAACGCUGACAGAAUGCUUAACACAUGCAAGUCAACUUGAACUUCGGUUUGGGUGGCGGACGGGUGAGUAACGCGUAAAGAACUUGCCUCACAGAUAGGGACAACAUUUGGAAACGAAUGCUAAUACCUGAUAUUAUGAUUAUAUGGCAUCGUAUAAUUAUGAAAGCUAUAUGCGCUGUGAGAGAGCUUUGCGUCCCAUUAGCCAGUUGGAGAGGUAACGGCUCACCAAGGCGAUGAUGGGUAGCCGGCCUGAGAGGGUGAUCGGCCACAAGGGGACUGAGACACGGCCCUUACUCCUACGGGAGGCAGCAGUGGGGAAUAUUGGACAAUGGACCAAGAGUCUGAUCCAGCAAUUCUGUGUGCACGAUGAAGUUUUUCGGAAUGUAAAGUGCUUUCAGGUGGGAAGAAAAAAAUGACGGUACCAACAGAAGAAGUGACGGCUAAAUACGUG
rnacentral:rRNA from 1 species